CGGAUGCACUGAUCCAGCCGGGCCUUUCCCUCUGUGGAACCCCAUGGCCUUCACUGGCUGUGGUGGGGAAACAGGACUUUUACUUUGAAAAAAUUAGAGUGCUCCAGGCAGGCCUAUGCUCGAAUACAUUAGCAUGGAAUAAUAGAAUAGGACGUGUGGUUCUAUUUUGUUGGUUUCUAGGACCGCCGUAAUGAUUAAUAGGGACAGUCGGGGGCAUCAGUAUUCAAUUGUCAGAGGUGAAAUUCUUGGAUCUAUUGAAGACUAACUACUGCGGAAGCAUUUGCCAAGGAUGUUUUCAUUGAUAAGGAACGAAAGUUAGGGGAUCGAAGACGAUCAGAUACCGUCGUAGUCUUAACUAUAAACUAUGCCGACUAGGGAUCGGACGAUGUUAUUCUUUGACGCGUUCGGCACCUUUCGAGAAAUCAAAGUGCUUGGGCUCCAGGGGGAGUAUGGUCGCAAGGCUGAAACUUAAAGAAAUUGACGGAAGGGCACCACCAGGGGUGGAACCUGCGGCUUAAUUUGACUCAACACGGGGAAACUCACCAGGUCCAGACACAGUGAGGAUUGACAGAUUGAGAGCUCUUUCUUGAUUCUGUGGGUGGUGGUGCAUGGCCGUUCUUAGUUGGUGGAGUGAUUUGUCUGCUUAAUUGCGAUAACGAACGAGACCUUAACCUGCUAAAUAGCCCGUACUGCUUUGGCAGUUCGCCGGCUUCUUAGAGGGACUAUCGG
rnacentral:rRNA from 1 species